CGUCCUCUCAGGCGGACGGGACCAUGCCUGUCGGAUUCCGGCGAACCUGUAAUGAACGACAGGACGGUCUAGCUCCUUGCGUAGCUAACUAGGUCACUGUCAGCACUUAAUUACUGUUUGUUUCAUUUUAGUGCGUGCCUUAUGAAUAAACCGGCUAUUAGGCUGAUGCUUCAAGUAACCCUAUCCAGCACCAAGAACAAGAAGAGAUCAGGAGCUUGAACAGCAGAAUUACAGAUUUGGAAGGUUAUGAAGACAUCAUUAAAUUCAGAAGUCUGUGGCCACAUUAAAUAGGCAGGAGCUGUGAACUGGCAAAAGCCUUCAUUACUGAAUCAAUAUGAAGCCAUUGUCCUAAGAAGUCCUCCCUUAAGGAAGCAGCUCUAACCCGCAGUAUAUCAAGACUUCUUGGGUACAUGAGAUUAGCAAGGAAGCUCAUUGGCAAGUGAAAUAUGGCAACAGAGAGUCAUCUCCAGCACUGUUUCACCUGGUAAAAGCCUACAUGAAGUGACUGCAAGCAUGCUACCUUUCUCGUCUUUAGCACUGAUGAGUCUUGGAGUACUAUGUGUUCCUUGGAUGCUGGCAAGUGGAUAGGAUUCAACAUGCAUAGGACUGCUCUGCUCAUCUCCAUAGCUAGCACCAACAACCUGAGAAUGUCCCCUUAGUCUCCUUGUGCACUCCUAGCCUCAUUAGGGGUGAUGAAGGUAGCACCUGUCACAACAGGCCUUGGCAUCACAGCGUUUCUAACCUCCUCACACAUGUAUCACAUUUCUCCUCAGGAUAUGUUAUGACCCCUUUGCAUCAGGGCCAUGGUAUUCCUUAGCACUACUGCUGUGUUAAAGGAGCCUUCUCCAUGAGAUUCCCUGUGGCAGGUGAUAAGGAUAUUCAGAUCUUGAAGGCCAAGUGAGAUUUCUGCUGUCAAGACAGUAAAAGUGCAACUCCUUAUUCUAGGGAACACCAGGUUCCAGACACGUUGUCAACACUUGAAGCAUGGAUUAAGUGCAGAAGAUCCAAUGGCAAUUUCUUGACACAGGUUGAUUGCUGAGUCAUCUCGGGGAGGUGCUCUGCUGGACUUGUUAUUCAUGAACAAACUGGCUGGGGGUGUAGAGGUUGAGGGCAGCUUUGGCUGCAACCCUGAGAUUGUAUAGUUAAAAUCCUGAGAUAAAUGAGCAAAACAAUUAAUAAAAUUGCCAAUCUUGACUUCUGGAGAGCAAAUUUCAGCUUGUUCAGGGAUCUGCUGGGCAGGAUCACAUGGGAGACAAUUAGCUGCCCCUGGGACAACUAGUUGAUCCUCAAGAACAGCCUCCUCAAAACACAGAAUUGGUCCAUUCCAAAUCACAGAAAGAUGAGCAACUAUGGUACAAGGCCAGUAUGGAUGGGUAGGACACACUUGACUGACCUCCAAUACAAAAGAGAAGUAUGCAGAAGUUAGAAACAGGCCCAGGACUACCUGGAAGGAAUAUAGAGACAUUGCCUAAGUCUGCAGGGAGGGAAGUAGAAAAGCCGAAGCUCAGCUGGUUUUGCAACAGCAAGCGUUGUGAAGGGCAACAAAAAGCGCUUUAGUAAGUACAUUGGUAACAAAAGGGCAGCCUACGGAAAAUGUGGGCCAAGUACUCUAUGUGGGAAAGGGACCUACUGACAAAAGGCAUGGAAAAAGGUGAAGUGUUCAAUGCCUAUUCUGCUUUUUAUUCUUUUGCUUUUUUAUUACUGAGAUUUACCCUCAGUCCUGAGGCUAAUAGCAGAGUCUGAGGAAGUGAAGCACAGCCACAGUAGAGAAAGACUGAGCACUUAAGCCAACUGGACACACAAAGUUCAUGGAAACAGACAGGAUGCAUCCAAGGGUGCUAAGGAAGCCAGCCCAUGUCACUGUGAGUCUGCUGCCCAUCGACUUCAACAGGUUAUGGUGAUUGGGGAGGUCCCAAAUGGACAGAAGAAAAAAGCAAAUGUCAUACCCAUCUGCAAGAAGGUUGAGAAAGAGGGUCCAGGGAACUACAAGCUAAGUAGUCUAACCUCAGUCUCCUUGAAGAUUUUUCCUCCUGGAAACCGUUUCUGAGUUCAUGAAGUGCAAGAAGGUGAUUAGAAAUAGGCAGCAUGAAUUUACCAAGGGCAAACUGUCCAUGAUUAACCUGAUCGGUUGAGCAUGGUAAGAUGACUGGUUCUGUGGACAAGGGAAGAGUAGUGAAUAUUGUUUACCUUGACUUUAGCAAAGCUUUGCCCAAGGUCUUUGAUAGUAUCCUACCAGUCAAAAUAGUGAGAUGGGGACAGGAUAAGCAGAUGAUAAGGUGGAUGGAAAACUAGCUGAACUGCCAGGCUAAACAGGUUGUGAUUGGCAGUACAAAGUCCAUCUGACAGCUGGUUGCUCGUGGCAACCCCCCCUGGGGACAGAUUCUGGGGCCAAUGCAGUUUGCUGUCUUCACUGUUAAUUAUCUGGACUAUGGGAGAGAGUGCACUAUCAGCAAAUUUAUGAAUGAUACCAGCCGGCAGGGGAGCAGUUGAUAUGCUGGAGGGCAGGGCUGUUAUUCAGAGGGACCAGGACAGGCUGGAGGAAUGGGUUACCAGGAGCCUCACCAAGCUCAGCAAAGACAAGUGAAAAGUCCUGUGUUGCACAUGGAAUAACCCCCUAGACCUGCACAUGUUGGAGGUCAACUGACUAGAGAGCAGCUUUGCAGAAAGGAACCUGGGGUCCUCAUGGACACAUUGAGCAUGAGUUGGCAGUUGGUGCAAACAAGGUCAACUUCAUCCUGGAUUAUAUUAGCAAGAUGUAGUCAGCAGGUCCAGGGAAGUAAAUAUUCCCCACUAUUUGGCACUUGUGAGACUGCUUCUGGAGUACUGUUUUUGGCUGCCUAGCACAAGACAUUGACAUACUGCUGUGAAUGCAGCAGAGUGUCACUAAGAUCACACGGGCUAGAGUACAAGCAUAUGAUGAGAAUGUGGUGGGGCGAAUAUAGGGAAGAGAUCCAGACUCUUCUUGGAGGUAUAUGGUGAUAGGACAAGAGCUAAUGGACACAAGUUGCAAUACAGGAAAUUCUGCAUGUAAGAAAAAAAUAUUUUCAUUAUUUUCAGUGAAAAAAUAUUUUCAGGUCAAAUGCUGGAAUGGGUUUUCAAUAGAUGUUGUGGAAUCUCAGUCCUUGGAGAUAUUCAAAACCUGACUGAGCAACCUGCUUUAGUUGGAGCAUCUUUGAAUGAGAAGUUGAACUAGACGUCCUCCAGAGAUCACUUCCAAGCUGUCCAUCAGAGGGGUGAGCAGAGACCAGUGGAUGGCAACAGUUUGCCGCUGCAGAUCUGCUAGAACCCUUAUUGCCCUCAAAGAGCUUGAGCAUCAAAGGUAUGGCAUUUCAACGCUGAAAGAUGGCAGCUGACUUUCGAUUUUGAGGACUGCAGCUUUCAAUGUAGAACCCUAAAAUCUGUCUGAAUGCCUUUUUGAACCUGGCUCUUGAUACUGAACUUUGAAAAGCAUGGAUCUAUUUUCAAAGAGUGCAUGCUUCUCUACUGAAAACAUCCUAAGAGGAUGAUUAAUCAGGAUUGCUUUGAGGAACAUUUUCCUUCCUAUUGUCCUAAGAUGAGAUUGGAGAUAGUUAAAAGUGGCAGAUGUUUCAGAGUGGCCAUGUUGUUUUCCUUUGUGGGUUUCUUAUCUGCUUAAAAGUUAAUGCAUACUUGUCUGUAGGUAGCUAGUGAACAUGACUGCAAUUGGCACCUUUUUGGAGUUAGAUCAUAGUUGUCUUCUAACUGGUGUUAAUUCCCAUUUCCAAACACUCUGCUUAACUUCAGCAUUAGAAAAAACGAUAUGAGAAUGUGAUGUUGCUGCACUCACAGCGUUGUGCAGGGCUGUAUGUGGAGCUGUGCACUACAGGAAGAAUUAUACAAAAUGUAAAGCUGACUUAUAUUAGUAUCUUUCUGUUAAAAAGUAUGUACAUUCUAAACAUAGUGCUUGGAAAAAAAUGUCAUCUAUCUCCUUAUGACUGUGAUCAAAUUCUAUACAUUUUAUAAGAAACAGUAUGAACCUACUUUAUGUCUCACUAAAAAUUUAAUGUACAUGAUAGAUAUUUUACUGGAAUAUACGACUUGCCCUUCUUCUGGUGUAAUCAUUCACAGUUUUGCAAAAUAGAUAGGGAUCUCUGAUUUGGCAGCAGCUUCCACAGGUAUAAGGACAAAUACAAGGGAGUGGAUAAUCACAACCCUUGUCUUAAAGAAAAACAUCCAGCAUAUUUUUAACUUUUGAUAACUAGAAAGUGUUACUUUUAUUUUGUCUUAAAUCUUGCAUUUCAUCAUUAGUCUGAUAAUGCCUCUCUCUCUGUGACAAAAUAGAAUAUAAGCCCUCUUCUCUGUUCCUCAGUAGCAUGUUAACAAAUCUACACACUGGGUUAUAUUUUAUUAGAAAUAUGGGGAAGGGGAAAGUGGGAUUUGCCAAACGUGGAAAGAAAAAAUAUUUAUCAGCUUUCAACACUUGGAUUAAAUUAUAUCAUGGUCUGUAAGAAAAAUUAUGUCUCUAUUCAGUUUUGUUCUAUAAGAGGUUCUAUGACCCAAAACCCAUAACAUCUGCAGCUCAACUAAUAAAAGUGUCACUCACAUGCUGGUAACAAGAAUGUGCUUCUACAAAACAAGUUGUAACUAAUGAGUAUCUUUUCCCUUAGUUAAGAAAAUAAUUUCUAUUUAAAUAUCUUUGACAUUUCGAGAUCUGCAUCUUUUUAUAACCUAUAGUUUAAAGCCUAUGAUAUAAUCUGAAAACUAUCAAACAUACAAUCUUCCUAAUGUGCCAGGACUUUGAUUAUGUAAAAAUACUUUGUUGGUUCAUGGUGAAUAUUCAUAAAUGGUAUAUAUAUGGUACAUAUAAAACAUAAUUGUAAAAAGAAUACCUCUGUACUUAUUGGAGAUUUUCAAAACCCAAAUCAUUCCUUUCUACCUCUUUUUUUCCUAUUUUUAAUUAAUGUCUAUUUUGGGCAUAUUAUCUCAGUAUAAUUUCUGCUGUGGUGAUGUCUGUAGGAUCAUCAAUAGUUCCUCUACAAUGAGAACUGGAAGAUAGUCUAUAUUAGCUACUAGUUUACUUGAUCAUGUCCUGGAAUAUGCCUAGCCUUCAGUCAAACUCAUUGAAUUUCUCUCCUGUUUUAGAGUGGAUAGAGGCAGCUGAAAGGCCUGGAGUCAUAGUCAAUGGGGAUCUAGUCAAAACAGUCAAUAUUGUCCAGAAAGUCAGUCAACUCAUUUUAAAGCAGGCAUCUACUUUUAGUCAGAUGAAUCACUCUCUAGACUCCAUUGAUGUAGAUAUGUCAGGCUGGAUGAGAUGGAUCCCACCCCUACAUUCCCUAGAUCUUUCUGCUCACUUGUUUGAGACUGAAUUGAAGCCGUCCGAAAAGAAGUUUGUAGUGCAGUGUGCCUUGCAGUUGCAAUUGUGACUAGUACCGUCUCAGCCCUACUGAGUUAGCUGUAAGUCACCAGCUCAGCAUUGCCAGCUGCAUAUGUGGACUCGACUCUACAUGUACUUUUUGUGGUCAAUACAUGAGCCUCUGGUGCAUUCAGCAUUUAAAAGCAGUAAGUUCCUUUGGUGUUCUUACUAAAAACUGACUUUAAUAAGAGACAUAUUUACACUUUAGAAAGCUUGCUUUUUAAAUAGCUCCAGAACUUUUAAAUUAAGUUCGCUGACAUACUCUAAAAACUCUUCCAAGUGUUGUAAGAACUGUACCAAAUCCAUAUCAGAUACAAAUUCUGACUGAACGUCAUUAGAUAAUGCAUGCUAAAUUCUGUCUGUGUAUUUGUUUACUGGUGUGUAAAUGGAGAAACAGCCUCAUCUUCUUGUUCUGGACCUUCUACCACUAUGCCCCUUCUCAGGAACAGAGAGAGGCGUGGAAAGAUUGGGUCAAAGCUGCAAAUAUGCUUUAGAUAGAAGAGAGAGGGGAAAGAUAAGUCUGAUGGAUCAACAUGAUGGAUCAGGAUCAUGACCCUCAACUUCUAAGCCCUUUGGCUUAUUCCAUGUUUUUUUCUCCAAACACUAUGCCCUUUUUUUAUCCCUGUCCUCCAUCUCAACUGGGCUGUUUGUCCAAUGCCGAAUUCCAUGUCUUUCCUAACAGGUUACAGGUAGGGGAAAAUGAUGAGAGAAUGGAUGGCCCAGAGCGGUGGCCAGCAGUUUGUAGGUCCCUAUAGCAACAACCAGUGCCAUGUUUCAUCACAGACAGAGUAGGCCUUAAAGGCUUUACCUUGCAGAUUGGAAACAUGCCAUGAGCAUGCAGAGGAGGUGUGAGCAGAUAUCCUCCACUGACUCUUGUUUGCAUGGCAUGAAUGAAGAAUAAAGGAAAUUAGCAGCGGUGUGACAUUUCAGGAAUUGUUGGGGGUUUUUGUUAAUCAUCUCUGAAGUGGCAUAACGUCUGGAUGGGAACUACUCUUUCCUCCUGAGAUGUCUCAACAGUCAGGUCAUGAUAGGGAUGAUUCCACCCCCACUUACUGCAAGGCUGAAGUCCUCGAGACGGAUUAUUUGUUCCUCUGCUCUGCAUCCAUUUGCGUAAUUCUGGAUGCCCUUUGCCUGGAGGAAGUCACAGCCCAGCUCAAGGUGCAGAGGCUUCCUUAGCAGUGUGGGAGGAGAAGUGGGAGUGGAUUUCACAGAAACCUCUGAUCAGAAAGCUGCCUGAGCAAGCUGGUGGGGAAUGGCUGCAUUCCAGGGGCGUUUCCUAAUUGCUGUGCCACUGGAGCAUGCUGGGGAACAUAUCCCAGCCAGUGCCAAACACUCUUGUCUUCAGCUGCCUUUGCCCAAGCGUUUGACCGAUGGGUUGUGCUUGAAGGCUGUUUCCUGAUUCUGCCCUGUAGGUGAGGCAGGGAGGGAGCUUCCUGUUGUGGGAAUCUCAUUCAGGCUUAAGGGGUGAGCUAGCAGGUUUCAAGCACUGUCAAAAUAAUAAGGCUAGGUUUUCUUGCCUUACGGCAGAAGUUUAGCUUCAUAGGGACAAAAGUAUUCCUGUACCAACAGGUGCCUCACAGGAGAUGGUGAAGCUCUGCAGUGCCUUUGAACCUUCCAAGAACUGGUGCCAAAUAACAAAAAUGUCUGGGAUCUCUGCAUUGUCCCCAAAAAAACAGGCUAAAGCAGGUUUCAUGUCUGCAGCGAUAUUUUUUUACCGUGUGAAUUCAAUAAUCUGGUUUUGCACCUGUGACAAGUUGACGUGGUACUUGCCUCUUCCCUGGCCUUUAACUAAUUGUAGUUUGAAAAAUGUUGUGGUACAAUGUCCUUAACAUGGGUUUUAUAAUAAGUAAUCAGUACAUCCUGUUUACACGGUGACAUUCAGUAAAACACAAAUGUUGAUGAUUUGUCCCACAUUUUGUUCAGUUGUAUCACUCAAUAUAUUAAAGAUUAUUUCAUUAAAACAAUUUGUUACUGUGAUUUAAGGAAAAUUUCAGGGGUUCUCUGUCCACAAUCUUUAGGAAUAUGUCCCAUUCCCAGAAAUAGAUUUGAAAGCUAGAAAAAAUGGCAGGGAAUGUGAGUUUGCAUCCUCUUCGCUGACUUUCUGUCUAUAUCUUUAUGUAAUUAAUUUUAUGAAGACAGCAGCUUGCUUACAUCAAGUAAAUAAUUUUAUGGGAAGAACAGAACUCUUAAAUACAUGGCAAAAAGGCAUGCCAAGUGCCAAUGUUUGAAAAGUAAAGUCAAAUUCAAGUAAGAGAAAUGCCAUCAAUUUUAAAUAGCGUAACUACCAAUAGUAUGUCCAUCUUCAAAUCACGAUGUCAAACAUAAAUUAUCUCAGGUAUUGUUGAAAGAGAGUCUGUGGUGUUUGUUAGAUGUGAGACCAAAGUAGAUAACUUAGCAGCUUUUUCUAGCUCUAGAAACUUUGACAACAUGUGUUGGGUUUGCAUGACAAGGUUUUGGUAGAGGGGGGGCUACAGGGGUGGCUUCUGUGAGAAGCUGCUAGAAGCUCCCCCUGUGUCUGAUAGAGCCAAUGCCAGCCGGCUCCAAGACGGACCCACCACUGGCCAAGGCCAAGACAAUCAGCACCUCUGUGAUAACAUAUUUAAGAAGAAGAAAAACAGUUAGAGGGAGCUUUUGCAGCCAGAGAGAGGAGUGAGAAGAUGUAAGAAACUCUGCAGUCACCAAGGUCAGUGCAGAAGUAGGGGCAGGAGGUGCUCCAGGCACCGGAGCAGAGAUCCCCCUGCAGCCCCUGGAGAAGACCAUGGUGAGGCAGGCUGUGCCCCUGCAGCCCCAUGGAGGAAGGAUGAGGGGGUGUAGAGAUUCCACCUGCAGCCCGUGGAGGACCCCAGAGCAGGUGGAGGCACCUGAAGGAGGCUGUGGCCCGUGGGAAGCCCAUGCUGGAGCAAGCUCCUGGCAGGACCCGUGGACCCGUGGAGAGAGGAGCCCACACCAGAGCAGGUUUGCUGGCAGGACUUGAGACCCCGUGGGGGACCCAUGCUGGAGCAGUCUGGUCCUGAAGGUCUGCAGCCCAUGGAAGAGACCACGCUGGAGCAGUUCGUGAAGCAGCCCAUGGGAAGAACUCAUGUUGGAGAAGUUCAUGAAGGACUGUCUCCCGUGAGAGGGACUCCAUGCUGGAGCAAGGGAAUGAUGAGAGAAGUCCUCCCCCAUGAGGAUGAAGAAGCAGCAGAUCCAACAUGUGAUGAACUGACCGUAACCCCCAUUCCCCGUCCCCCUGUGCCGCUGAGGGGGGUGGAGGUUGAAGCCGGGAGUGAAGUUGAGCCCGGGAAGAUGGGAGGGGUGCGGGGAGGUGUUUUAAGAUUUGAUUUUAUUUCUCAUUGCUCUACUCUGUUUUGCUUAGUAAUAAAUUAGAUGAAUUUCCUCUCUAA